UGUAGGGCUAGAAGACCCUGAGGCUGUUCA
rnacentral:piRNA from 1 species